AUGUUUGUUGACCAGCUUGCUAGAAAACAUCUUGCAAAUUCAGGAUUUUAUUUUGACUAUGUUCUUGAUGAUAAGGGCAGACUGGUACAUGUGUUCUGGGCGGAUGCCACAUGUAGGAAAAAUUAUGCUCUAUUUGGAGAGCUUGUGUCCUUUGACUCCACGUAUUGCACCAAUCAAUAUAACAUGAUUUUCACCCCCUUUACUGGAAUCAAUCACCAUAAGGCAAGUGUUUGUUUUGGUGCUGCAAUGUUACACGAUGAGAAGGCAGAUUCUUACAAGUGGUUGUUUCGCACAUUCUUGAAAGCUAUGGGAGGGGCUGCACCUAAGUUUAUAAUAACUGACGAAUGUAGUAGCAUGGACAAUGCAAUAAGGGAAGUUUUCCCAGCAGCCGCACAUAGGCUAUGCAUGUGGCAUAUUAUGAAUAAGAUCCCUCAAAAGGUUGGCCCUGAUUUGAAGACGGAUGAGGAUUUCCAUGAACGAUUAGGUCGGUGCGUGUGGUCUUCUGAAACUCCUACUGAAUUUGAGGAACAAUGGAAAGAAAUUAUGUCAGAGUAUGGGUUGGAAGAUGAUGAAUGGUUCAGUAAAAGGUUCAGCCUUCGAGAAUCAUGGAUACCAGCUUAUUUCAAAGAAAUAGCUUUGUCAGGGCUUAUGCGGACUACUUCAAGGUCAGAGAGUGUCAAUUCUUUUUUCUCACGUAUUAUUGGUUACAAACAUGCUUUGGUUGAGUUUUGGCUUAGAUUUGACACAGCUUUGGAAGAACAACGUCACAAGGAGUUGCAAGAGGACCAUGUGAGGAUUCUAUUCCUAUGGCGGAUUCUAUUCAUAUGGCGGAUUCUAUUCCUAUGUGUGGAUUAA
rnacentral:rRNA from 1 species